rnacentral:rRNA from 1 species
AAUCGCAGGUCAGCAUACUGCGGUGAAUACGUUCCCGGGUCUUGUACACACCGCCCGUCACACCAUGGGAGCCGGAAAUGCCCGAAGCCAGUGACCCAACCUUAGGGAGGGAGCUGUCGAAGGUGGAACCGGUAACUGGGGUGAAGUCGUAACAAGGUACC